GGUUCCUUUUGUCCCUCCAGUCCAGAGUGAGUUUCCAUAUCUCAUUUAUUUAAAGCAGAAGUUCCCUAUUUAGACAAAAUUCAUUGAAUGAAAGUUUGAGGUAAUGAAUUAGAAACAUGGGUGAAGCUGGCAUCACGAAUACAGAGGUAGGGGGUGCACAGGGGACCUUAGUAAGCAUCAAACCAUUAGACACCGAUUUGACUAUGUUCUAUGGGUCGGCGCCAUGAGAUUCCAGACACCAUAAUCAUAAUAUAUUAAUGCACUGAUCAUUUUGUGUGCACAGUGCACACAGCAGAAUCAGUUUUUCUAUUCACCCUAAGUUGCCUUUCCAGGGCACGUAGUCAAC